rnacentral:misc_RNA from 1 species
UCCAGCUGGGCGGCCGUCUCC